UCUAUUGUCUUUUAGGCUCUGGUGCUCCAAUUCUUGCUGUUGUUGCUGUCGCCUGUUGGCUGGUGAGAUUUUACCUAACAAAAAAAAAAAGGUCUUACUACCUAACCGGCUAACCGUUAAAGCCCCCUCCUUUGUAGAUUAGAAACAAAAUAUAAGAGAUAGAGCUUUCUUCAGUUUAGACAGAAAAGAGAGGGAAAAGAAAAGUAAAAGAUGUCAACAGCUUCUUCCUUUUGUUCAUCAACUCAGGUUAAUGGCUUUGGAGGAGGACUUAGGCUUCUAAGAACCCCUCUUUCUCAACCCAAGACACUAACUUUUACAAGAGUUUUAGAUGGUAAAGAAGCAAAUAUAUGGGUGUUGGCAAUAAAACCCACUUCAGAAAUGAGGAGAAUUGCUACAGUAGUGAAGGCAACUGCUCGAGUCGAUAAAUUCUCAAAAAGUGAUAUCAUUGUUUCUCCAUCUAUUCUCUCUGCUAAUUUUGCAAAGUUGGGGGAGCAGGUGAAAGCAGUAGAAGUGGCAGGCUGUGAUUGGAUCCAUGUUGAUGUAAUGGAUGGCCGAUUUGUUCCCAACAUUACAAUUGGACCUCUUGUGGUUGAUGCCUUACGACCUGUGACAGAUCUUCCGCUGGAUGUGCAUUUGAUGAUUGUGGAACCAGAGCGGAGAGUUCCAGACUUUAUUAAGGCUGGAGCAGACAUAGUCAGUGUUCACUGUGAACAAUCUUCAACCAUCCAUUUGCAUCGUACACUUGGUCAGAUAAAAAGUCUUGGCGCGAAAGCUGGAGUUGUCCUAAAUCCUGCUACCCCACUUAGUACAAUAGAAUAUGUGCUUGAUGUGGUUGAUCUAGUCUUGAUUAUGUCGGUCAACCCUGGGUUUGGUGGGCAGAGCUUUAUUGAGAGCCAAGUGAAGAAAAUCUCCGACUUGAGAAGACUCUGUGCAGAGAAGGGAGUAAAUCCAUGGAUUGAAGUGGAUGGUGGAGUUGGUCCUAAAAAUGCAUAUAAGGUUAUUGAGGCUGGAGCUAACGCUCUAGUGGCUGGUUCAGCUGUGUUUGGAGCCAAAGAUUAUGCUGAAGCUAUUAGAGGAAUCAAAACCAGCAAAAGGCCAGAAGCAGUGGCUGUGUGAUUUAUGACUGCCCAAGAUUUGAUUGGCUCCGAUGUGUGAUAUUUGUAUUUGUAUUCCCAUAUAAUAUCCAUGUCAUUGUUGUUUAAUAAGCAAAUUUUCGCGACAAUCAUGUUGUCAGAUAGGUCCUGAUGCCAAAUGAUUGAUACAUAAAAGAAUGGAGGCUGUGGUAAGAUUGCUCUUUUGAAGCAUACUUGGUUUAUCAUGUCUUUUUGAGGAAUUCAAUGAUUCAUAUGUAUCUCAAGCAUUUUGUAAUGAACUUGCCAGUUCCAUUCAUUUCA